rnacentral:rRNA from 1 species
UGAGGUGCAGUGGCGGAAUCGUGGUUUAAUAAUCGGGUUGGUACUCAGUUGUCAGUGUGUUUGGCGAUCCCCUAGUCGGCACACUUAUGAUUUCUGGGAUAAUUCCAUACCAGGCACGUUCCGUCACUGUCACUUUGUCAUUGGUUUGAUGCUGAACUUGGUCAUGUGUCUGAUGCUAUUUUCAUAUAGCGACGGUACCCUUCGUGGUCUGUCUUCCUGACCUCGGUUCAGACGUGAUUACCCGCUGAACUUAAGCAUAUCACUAAGCGGAGGAAAAGAAACUAACCAGGAUUCCCUUAGUAACGGCGAGUGAACAGGGAAGAGCCCAGCACCGAAGCCUGUGGUCAUUUGGCCCCUAGGCAAUGUGGUGUUCAGGUUAGCUCGCGAAGAUGCUGC